rnacentral:lncRNA from 1 species
CAGAAAGGGACAUUAAGGGAAAUUGAAACAGACGGAUGUCUUACUGUAUCUCCCACAUUGAUGUUUUCCAGUUGUUACUAACAUGGCCAUGUGUGAUCAUCUGAAAGCAGUAACAUAAAUCAGGCUCAACUGCUAUCAUGCUGCAGUGAGAAUUCCUUGAAGGUAUUUCAUAGAGAAGCCACAGAAGAUCAUUUUCAUAUUUUGCAAAUGAAAUGACAGUACUGGAGUAGUUUCCUAUAAUGGAGAUGCUUUGGGCAAUUGACAACUAUUAUAUGACUCAUCAUCUUCAAAUAAUUUACCCACUAGAGAUGAAAGACUUGUGGACUUCCAUCUUUCUUUGGCCCUCACAAUUUUUCUCUUCCACCACCAAUAAAAUAGUCACACAUAAUCACAAUCCUAUUAUGUGCAAAGACUUUGAAGUACAGGGGUCCCUGGCUUCCUGCAGUCCAGCAUCCACAGAGCAUAUUGAGUGAAAUAUUGACAUCUUCAGUGUUAUAGAAGGCGUUUCCAAAAAGAUGGUGGAAAAAUACAUAUACUGAGGGCCUGGCUCUGUGGCACAACGGGUUAAAGCCCUGGCCUGAAGCACGGCAUCCCAUAUGGGCGCUGGUUCUAGUUCUGUCUGUUCAUCUUCCAAUCCAGCUCUCUACUAUGGCCUGGGAAAGCAGUAGAAGAUGGCCCAAGUUCUUGGGCCCCUGCACCCAUGUGGGAGAACCAGAAGAAGCUCCUGGUUCCUGGCUUGGGAUCAGUGCAGCUCUGGCCAUUGUUGCCAUCUUGGGAGUGAACCAGCGGAUGGAAGACCUCUCUCUGUCUCUACCUCUCUCUGUAACUCUGUCUUUUAAAUAAAAUAAAAUAAAAUAAAAUAAAAUAAAAUAAA